rnacentral:tRNA from 1 species
GCCCCCAUAGCUCAAUGGAUAGAGCGUAAGCCUCCGGAGCUUAAGACAGAGGUUCGACUCCUCUUGGGGGUA